rfam:Brachypodium distachyon strain Bd21 chromosome 3, whole genome shotgun sequence.
CAUAUACUCCCUCCGUUUCAUAAUUCUUGUCAAAAUCUUACAUGUAUCUAGACACUUUUUAGAAAUAGAUACAUCUAUUUUUAGACAAAUUUAAAACAAGAAUUAUGAAACGGAGCGAGUAUUUU